GUAUUACUGAUCCUGCGUAACAUUUUUUUCCUCCAGUAUAUUAUACCCACUAGUUUUGAUUUCUUAUCCAAUUUUUUUUUUCUUUUCCUUCAAAACUAGUGAUAUGAUCGAAUAUGUUGUUGCAGAUUCCGAUUCAGACACAACCAAGAAAUCAAAACACUGCAAUGGCGUAUAGGGUCAAAGGAGAAUCAUUUUCAAGCUCUUCGAAUUCAACUCCAAAAUAAAUGGAAAUAUGAUGUUUUGUUUUUUGUUUUUUGUUUUUGUUUUGCAGGAAAAGAUACUCGCUUGAAUUUUACAGGUCACUUGUGUUCCGCUUUUAGUCAAAGUGGCAUACGUGCUUUUAAGGAUGAUAAAGGAAUAGAAAGAGAAGUCAUAUCGCAACAAUUAUUUCAAGCAAUUGAAGACUCUCUCAUUGCUAUCCGUCCGAUGUAAGGCAUUCAAGAAAAAUUUUGCAUUAGCUUUAGCUAAACAUGAAGAGAGAUUUAAAGGAAGCAAAGACAAACUGCAGAAAUGGAAAAAUGCUUUGAUGGAAAUUAGCAAUUUGUAAGGUUGGGACACGAGGGGUCGGUAAGUUUUCUUUCAUAUCGUGGUUUAAUCAUUUUUUAUUAAGUUAAUAUGGUUUAAACUCAAAAAAGAUAAUCCAUGACUCAUAAAUCAUAUGUGUGUGUGAGAGAGUGAGAGAAACCUUGUAUAAUCCAAACUAUUCACGAAAAUUAUGAAUGUAUUUGGAUAUUUCGAUUUAAAUGGAUAUGCAUCAAUAGAUCAAAAAGUCUAGGCUUAUUCCUUGUUUUUCGCCGUGAUUAUAUUAUUUUCUGAAGUGUCCCUCGGCUUGUUUCCUAACUCACAGUCAAAAAGAAAAAAAGAAAAAAAAAAGAUUGCUUAACGAUAAAUUUCUCUAUUAUAUCACGUUGUUCUGUUUAACUAUUUCUUGCAAAAUAGUUAAAUAGAAACAGAACAACGUGAUACAAUAGAAGUUGUCCAAGACGGCUGUGAAAAGCUUUUUUCCCUGCACUAUAGCUCUUUAUAACUCAUUUUGUGCUCAUUUAUUCUUUAUAUUUUUAGGCCUGAAACACAAGUUAUCCAAGACGUUGUUUAAGCAAUAUGGAGCAAACUAUGUUCUAAAUUGCCAUCUUAUGAUGAUUAUAAUUUAGUUGGAAUAAGUCUCAAGGAUAGUUGAAAUAAAUUCACUCUUGAAGAUAGGGUUGGGCGAUGUUCAUUUUGUAGGAAUAUGGGGAAUGAGCGGUAUUGGUAAAACAACUCUUGCUAGAGUUGUUUAUGAAAGCAUCUCUCACCAAUUUGAAAUAUGUUGUUUUCGUUCUUAUGUUAGAGAAACUUCUAAAAGAAAAGGAAAAGUUUAUUUACAAAGAGAGCUUCUUUCACAUGUAAGUAAUAUGAAAAUUAAGAAUGAGUUUGAAGGAAGAAGGAAAUAAGAAAAUACUUUUGGAAUAAAAAGGUUCUACUUGUUCUUGAUGAUAUAAAUCACAUGAGUCAAUUGGAUAAUUUGGCCGUUAAUGCAGAGUGGUUUAGCGAGGGUAAUAGAGUAAUUAUAACAACUAGAGAUAAGCACUUGUUGACUUCACAUGGAGUUCAUGGAAUAUAUGAGAUGGAACCCAUGAAAGAAGAUGAAUCUCUCCAGAUCUGUUCAAAGAAAGCAUUUAAAAAAGAUCAUCCUAAGGAGGGAUAUGUGGUGUUGUCUAAAUCUGUGGUUGAAUAUGCCGGCGGUCUUCCUUUGGCGCUUCAGGUUUUAGGUUUUUUCUUCGUGGAAGAAGUGUACUUGAGUGGGAAGAUGCUUAAGACAGAUUGAGACAAAUUUCAGAUAAGGAUGUUUUUCAGAUUCUUAAAAUAAGCUAUGAUGGAUUAAAUGAUGAAGAGAAGGCAAUAUUCUUGGAUAUUGCAUGCUUUUUCAAGGGAUGGGAAAAAGAUGAAGUAUUCCAAAUUUUGAAAAUAUUGGUCUUCAUUGAAAUAAGUAUCCUCAUUGAAAAAACUUUGCUAGUUGAAUGCCAUACUGAUUUUGGAAGAUGCCGUUUAGAGAUGCAUGAUUUAUUUCAAGAAAUGGGCAGGAAUAUAAUUUAUCAAGAAUCUCCUAGCAUUGCUUACAGACGCAGUUGACCGUGGAAGAUCGAGGACAUCGAUGAAGUAUUGGAAAAUACUAUUGGAACUGAAGCAAUACAAAGCAUUGUGUUAGAUUCCUCACGACGGGAUGAUCCUGAAGUAUAUUGGAACCUCAUGCUUUUCGAAGUUGUUUAAUCUCAGAUUACUCAUCAUUCGAAGAAGAUUGGAACUUCCCAAUGUUCUCAAAUGCCCUUCUAGUGCAUUAGGAGUUGUUCAAUGGCUAUUUUGCCCUCUAGAAGCUCUUUAGUCAUUGUUUAUCACAUGCAUGCACUGCCAUGUUAUAUAUGUUAGUCCAGAUGAAUUAGGCCAGGCAAGAAGUCCAAAUGACUGCCCAUAUUUUUACAUUUAUAAUUUUUAAGGAU